GUGAGGAAUUUUCCGCAAUGGGCGAAAGCCUGACGGAGCAAUGCCGCGUGAAGGAUGAAGGCCUAUGGGUUGUAAACUUCUUUUCUCAGAAAAGAAUUAUGACGGUAUCUGAGGAAUAAGCAUCGGCUAACUCUGUGCCAGCAGCCGCGGUAAGACAGAGGAUGCAAGCGUUAUCCGGAAUGAUUGGGCGUAAAGCGUCUGUAGGUUGUUUAAAAAGUAUUCUGUCAAAGAUUAGGGCUUAACCCUAGAUAGGCAGAAUAAACUUUUAAGCUAGAGUUUGGUAGAGGCAGAAGGAAUUCCCGGUGGAGCGGUGAAAUGCGUAGAUAUCUGGAGGAACACCAAAGGCGAAGGCACUCUGCUGGGCCAAUACUAACACUGAGAGACGAAAGCGAGGGGAGCAAAUGGGAUUAGAAACCCUGGUAGUCC
rnacentral:rRNA from 1 species